CGGGGGGGGCAAGCGUUGUUCGGAAUUACUGGGCGUAAAGGGCUCGUAGGUGGCCAACUAAGUCAGACGUGAAAUCCCUCGGCUUAACCGGGGAACUGCAUCUGAUACUGGAUGGCUUGAGUUUGGGAGAGGGACGCGGAAUUCCAGGUGUAGCGGUGAAAUGCGUAGAUAUCUGGAGGAACACCGGUGGCGAAGGCGGCGUCCUGGACCAACACUGACACUGAUGAGCGAAAGCCAGGGGAGCAAACGGGAUUAGAUACCCCGGUAGUCCUGGCCCUAAACGAUAGAAUGCUUGGUGUGGCGGUAUCGAUCCCUGCCGUGCCGAAGCUAACGCAUUAAGCAUUCCGCCUGGGGAGUACGGUCGCAAGGCU
rnacentral:rRNA from 1 species